rnacentral:rRNA from 1 species
ACUCAAAUGAAUAGACGGGGGCCCGCACAAGCAGUGGAGUAUGUGGUUUAAUUCGACGCAACGCGAAGAACCUUACCAGGGCUUGACAUCCUCUGACGGCUAUAGAGAUAUAGCGUUCCCUUCGGGGACAGAGAGACAGGUGGUGCAUGGUUGUCGUCAGCUCGUGUCGUGAGAUGUUGGGUUAAGUCCCGCAACGAGCGCAACCCCUAUUGUCAGUUGCCAUCAGGUUAAGCUGGGCACUCUGGCGAGACUGCCGUUGACAAAACGGAGGAAGGUGGGGACGACGUCAAAUCAUCAUGCCCCUUAUGUCCUGGGCUACACACGUACUACAAUGGCAACAACAGAGGGCAGCCAGGUCGCGAGGCCGAGCGAAUCCCAAAAUGUUGUCUCAGUUCAGAUUGCAGGCUGCAACUCGCCUGCAUGAAGUCGGAAUUGCUAGUAAUGGCAGGUCAGCAUACUGCCGUGAAUACGUUCCCGGGCCUUGCACACACCGCCCGU